CUCAGUAGGUGAAUCACCCAUUCAGUGAUAAUGUACUCCUACAUCUCAUCUGUAUGCCAUACCAGUAUCACUAUACUCUUUGGUUAAGAGGACAAUCAAUCCAUAUGGCACACAAUGAUCUUCACUCAAUAAACGUCAUCAUCCUGUAAUGAUGUAUCAUUUGAUCAUGAAUAUGUUUAAAAACUAUAUGAUAAAUCCUCUC
rnacentral:lncRNA from 1 species